GACGAAACGCUGGCGGCGUGCCUAAUACAUGCAAGUAGAACGCUGAAGAGAGGAGCUUGCUCUUCUUGGAAGAGUUGCGAACGGGUGAGUAACGCGUAGGUAACCUGCCUUGUAGCGGGGGAUAACUAUUGGAAACGAUAGCUAAUACCGCAUAACAAUGGAUGACACAUGUCAUUUAUUUGAAAGGGGCAACUGCUCCACUACAAGAUGGACCUGCGUUGUAUUAGCUAGUAGGUGAGGUAACGGCUCACCUAGGCGACGAUACAUAGCCGACCUGAGAGGGUGAUCGGCCACACUGGGACUGAGACACGGCCCAGACUCCUACGGGAGGCAGCAGUAGGGAAUCUUCGGCAAUGGGGGCAACCCUGACCGAGCAACGCCGCGUGAGUGAAGAAGGUUUUCGGAUCGUAAAGCUCUGUUGUAAGUCAAGAACGAGUGUGAGCGUGGAAAGUUCACACUGUGACGGUAGCUUACCAGAAAGGGACGGCUAACUACGUGCCAGCAGCCGCGGUAAUACGUAGGUCCCGAGCGUUGUCCGGAUUUAUUGGGCGUAAAGCGAGCGCAGGCGGUUUGAUAAGUCUGAAGUUAAAGGCUGUGGCUCAACCAUAGUUCGCUUUGGAAACUGUCAAACUUGAGUGCAGAAGGGGAGAGUGGAAUUCCAUGUGUAGCGGUGGAAUGCGUAGAUAUAUGGAAGAACACCAGUGGCGAAGGCGGCUACCUGGUCUGCAACUGACGCUGAGACUCGAAAGCAUGGGUAGCGAACAGG
rnacentral:rRNA from 1 species